rnacentral:rRNA from 1 species
AAUAUCGGCUAAUGGGGGCAACCCUGAUCCAGCCAUGCCGCGUGUGUGAAGAACGUCGUCGGAUUGUAAAGCACUUUAAGUUGGGAUGAAUUGCUUUAGGUUAAUACCCUGCCGUCUUGACGAUACCAACACAACAAGCAUCGGCUAACCCUGUUCCAUCAGCCGCGGUAAUACAGAGGGUGCAAGCGUUAAUCGGAAUUGCGGGGCGUAAAGCGCGAGUAGGUAGUUCAGUAAGAUGGGUGUGAAAUCCCCGGGGUUAACCUGGGAACUGCUUUCAUAACUGCUGAGCUAGAGUACGGUAGAGGGUAGUGGAAUUUCCUGUGUAGCGGUGAAAUGCGUAGAUAUAGGAAGGAACACCAGUGGCGAAGGCGACUACCUGGACUGAUACUGACACUGAGGUGCGAAAGCGUGGGGAGCAAACA